rnacentral:pre_miRNA from 1 species
ACAACAACAUUGGGACCGUCGGUCUACCGAGCAAUAUCACCAGCUCGGUGGAAGAUCUAUCCUUUGUCGUAUAUC